rnacentral:rRNA from 1 species
AGUGAACGCUGGCGGUAGGCCUAACACAUGCAAGUCGAACGGCAGCACAGUAAGAGCUUGCUCUUACGGGUGGCGAGUGACGGACGGGUGAGGAAUACAUCGGAAUCUACUUUUUCGUGGGGGAUAACGUAGGGAAACUUACGCUAAUACCGCAUACGACCUACGGGUGAAAGCAGGGGAUCUUCGGACCUUGCGCGAUUGAAUGAGCCGAUGUCGGAGUAGCUAGUUGGCGGGGUAAAGGCCCACCAAGGCGACGAUCCGUAGCUGGUCUGAGAGGAUGAUCAGCCACACUGGAACUGAGACACGGUCCAGACUCCUACGGGAGGCAGCAGUGGGGAAUAUUGGACAAUGGGCGCAAGCCUGAUCCAGCCAUACCGCGUGGGUGAAGAAGGCCUUCGGGUUGUAAAGCCCUUUUGUUGGGAAAGAAAAGCAGCAGGUUAAUACCCCGCUGUUCUGACGGUACCCAAAGAAUAAGCACCGGCUAACUUCGUG